rnacentral:rRNA from 1 species
CCUACGGGAGGCAGCAGUGGGGAAUUUUCCGCAAUGGGCGAAAGCCUGACGGAGCAAUACCGCGUGAGGGAGGAAGGCUCUUGGGUCGUAAACCUCUUUUCUCAGGGAAGAAGAAAGUGACGGUACCUGAGGAAUAAGCAUCGGCUAACUCCGUGCCAGCAGCCGCGGUAAUACGGAGGAUGCAAGCGUUAUCCGGAAUGAUUGGGCGUAAAGGGUCCGCAGGUGGCUGUGUAAGUCUGCUGUUAAAGAGUCAUGCUUAACAUGAUAAGAGCAGUGGAAACUACAUAGCUAGAGUACGUUCGGGGCAGAGGGAAUUCCUGGUGUAGCGGUGAAAUGCGUAGAUAUCAGGAAGAACACCGGUGGCGAAAGCGCUCUGCUAGGCCGUAACUGACACUGAGGGACGAAAGCUAGGGGAGCGAAUGGGAUUAGAUACCCCAGUAGUCCUAGCCGUAAACGAUGGAUACUAGGCGUGGCUUGUAUCGACCCGAGCCGUGCCGUAGCUAACGCGUUAAGUAUCCCGCCUGGGGAGUACGCACGCAAGUGUGAAACUUAAAUGAAUUGACGGCUGAGAGNGCGAGCGACGACGAGGGAGAG